CCUACGGGAGGCAGCAGUGGGGAAUUUUGGACAAUGGGCGCAAGCCUGAUCCAGCAAUGCCGCGUGAGUGAAGAAGGCCUUCGGGUUGUAAAGCUCUUUUGUCAGGGAAGAAACGGUGAAGGCUAAUAUCCUUUGCUAAUGACGGUACCUGAAGAAUAAGCACCGGCUAACUACGUGCCAGCAGCCGCGGUAAUACGUAGGGUGCAAGCGUUAAUCGGAAUUACUGGGCGUAAAGCGUGCGCAGGCGGUUUUGUAAGUUUGUCGUGAAAUACCCGGGCUCAACCUGGGAAUGGCGAUGAAGACUGCAAGGCUAGAAUCUGGCAGAGGGGGGUAGAAUUCCACGUGUAGCAGUGAAAUGCGUAGAGAUGUGGAGGAACACCGAUGGCGAAGGCAGCCCCCUGGGUCAAGAUUGACGCUCAUGCACGAAAGCGUGGGGAGCAAACAGGAUUAGAUACCCUGGUAGUCCACGCCCUAAACGAUGUCUACUAGUUGUCGGGUUUUAAUUAACUUGGUAACGCAGCUAACGCGUGAAGUAGACCGCCUGGGGAGUACGGUCGCAAGAUUAAAACCUAGAAAGUAGUAGGACGNGAGAGAGCGACGACGACGACGACGGAGGAGGAGG
rnacentral:rRNA from 1 species